rnacentral:lncRNA from 1 species
GAGCUUAAAGAGAUUGUUUAAAAAGUGAUAACCCAUGUCUGUAUUCAGAAACAGUUUUAUCAAAAUGAAGAUGACUUCCAUUUAUAACACUUAAUUUUGGGGGUACAUUUGUGUAAAGCCAAGGGAAAUUCAACUUUUGAGAUCUCAAUUGUUAGGAUAAAAAAUCAGCUUCCAAAAAUAAUGGUCCAUUGAUAUCAGAGGUAAUGACAGCACAAAUUUGUAAUAAUGGUUUUCUGUUGAAGUUGAUGUUUUUUCUUCUUACUGACCAAUGAGUAUUUUCUUUUAAAAUGAGAAUAAUGCUGAAAACUGUUUUUUCUGAUUUCUUUUAUUUGCAAAGUUAGAAAAGGAGUUCAUGCUUUACUGAGUCAUAAGAAAGACUAUUACACAGUUUGUGGCAAGGCUCUUGUAACCAGUUGGAAUCUAAGUUAUUUGCUUUAUUUUUAUAAUCAGUAUUUUCUUUUUUGAAAUUUUAUUUUUAGGUAGGCGUUUGAUUUGUAAUAUCUGCUGUUCUAAAGACUUAAAUGUCACCCAGAUAGGAUAAAAUAGAACAGUAAGGAUUAUGAUAUUUCCUGACAGUUGAGUAGGAUGUAUGAAUCCCCCACACACUAAUCUUAUUUCUGAUUUUUUGUUUUUAUCUCUUUAGAGUUAUAGAUAGUAGUAUGAAAAACUUCAAAGCAUUUUUUCGGUGGCUUUAUGUGGCAAUGUUGAGAAUGACAGAAGACCAUGUGCUUCCCGAGCUGAAUAAGAUGACUCAGAAAGAUAUCACAUUUGUUGCUGAAUUUCUUACUGAACAUUUCAAUGAGGCUCCAGACCUUUAUAAUCG